rnacentral:rRNA from 1 species
AGGACGAACGCUGGCGGCAUGCCUAACACAUGCAAGUCGAACGAGAUUCAUUCGGUAGCAAUACCGGAGAAGAUCUAGUGGCGAACGGGUGAGUAGCACGUGAGCAACCUGCCCCGAAGACCGGGACAACACCGGGAAACCGGUGCUAAUACCGGAUAUCCCCACCAAUCCACAUGGACUGGUGAGGAAAUGGAUUCCGCUUUGGGAGGGCUCGCGGCCUAUCAGCUUGUUGGUGGGGUAACGGCCUACCAAGGCUUCGACGGGUAGCUGGUCUGAGAGGACGAUCAGCCACACUGGGACUGAGACACGGCCCAGACUCCUACGGGAGGCAGCAGUGGGGAAUCUUGCACAAUGGGCGCAAGCCUGAUGCAGCAAUGCCGCGUGAGGGACGAAGGCUUUCUGAGUUGUAAACCUCUUUCAGCAGGGACGAUUAUGACGGUACCUGCAGAAGAAGCUCCGGCCAACUACGUGCCAGCAGCCGCGGUAA